CAUGUCUUGGCUAGAGGGCACCAAGGGAUUGUCCAUGAGAAGAGAAAGAUCGAUGGAGGGAAUAACUAAAAGAAAAAUGAGAGAGUAAGGACAAUCAGGUGGCAGCGCAUGCCAACCAACCCAACCAUGACAAAUAGAGGUGGUGCCAGUGUUGUUAAGUUGUGCACAAUACAAAAUGAAGGGAAAGGAGGGAUCUGAUGAUGAUGCUUCCUGAUAAGUUAAGGAAGAAAAUAUAACUGGAGAUCAACCAACUACUCAAUGGUGUAGGAGAUCAAGAGGGUAGAGAUUAUUGUUGAGUGAGAAGAAAAGGCGAGGAGAAAUUGAGGAU
rnacentral:lncRNA from 1 species